rnacentral:lncRNA from 1 species
AACCAGCAACCUUCAUUUGUGAUAUGUUUCGUGUUUCAUCAUUUUAUAUAAAACUGCUCUCGUAAUGUCCAGCCACCGACCACCACAUGAUAGCUCGCCAUUGGCUCAACGGCGACACCACGGAUCGCCCUCGUGCAAUCCGAGUGCGACCGUUUUGUCCAAUCCCAUUGCGCCAUGUGGUUGGAGCUAAAAUGCAAAAAAAAAAGAAGCACAAGUGCUCCAGUUAACC